CUUGCUUCAACAUCAUUUGAAUCAAUCUACUACAUUGUCUAACCAUUGUCCAGUGGCAUACUUGACUCAUGGUUCAGACAAGAACAAUAUGAUCAUCCGCGACUAGAUCAUCCAAAAGAUACUCGACUAUUUUUUUUUUUUUUUAAGGGUUUCUACAUUCUACCCCUGUUAAUAGAAUUCGUCCUCGAAUUCUAAGGCUCUGAGGGGCCUCCUUCUUCCAUUACAACGUCCUCUCGGAAAAACUCCGGGUGAUCGGUUUUAAAUCUCGCUUCAUCCUCCCAAGUAACAUGAAUCCUGUUUUGUCUUCCCCAGAACACUUGUACUUGAG
rnacentral:lncRNA from 1 species